rnacentral:rRNA from 1 species
AUACGUAGGGGGCGAGCGUUGUCCGGAUUUACUGGGCGUAAAGGGUGAGUAGGCGGUUGUAUAUGUCAGGUGUAAAAGGCUAUGGCUUAACCAUGGUUAGCACUUGAAACUGCAUAACUUGAGUGCAGGAGAGGUAAGUGGAAUUCCUAGUGUAGCGGUGAAAUGCGUAGAUAUUAGGAGGAACACCAGUGGCGAAGGCGACUUACUGGACUGUAACUGACACUGAGGCACGAAAGCGUGGGGAGC